AUUUAGUAUUUCUUACAAUUUACUGAUUUAGGGAAAUAUCUAUUCACUUGCAAUUGCAUGAUUUGGCUGUCUGUGUGCGUGUUGGCGAAUGUAAGUACGUGACGCUCACACACACAUUAAUUAUAAUGUUACUUCUAUAUCUAUAUUGACAAGAACUAUGAAUGAAACUAUCGUUCUGAGCGUUAUUAUUCUAUGGAAAAAAUACUGUUGCUUUAAGUACCUAUGUAUAAUUCAAUGAAUUACAGUGUGUUCAAUUUUAUACUUUGCACCUAUAUUUAGUAAAAUAAAAUAUAUUUAACAUAAA